rnacentral:rRNA from 1 species
GAGGGAAUCUUCGGCAAUGGACGAAAGUCUGACCGAGCAACGCCGCGUGAGUGAAGAAGGUUUUCGGAUCGUAAAACUCUGUUGUUAGAGAAGAACAAGGACGUUAGUAACUGAACGUCCCCUGACGGUAUCUAACCAGAAAGCCACGGCUAACUACGUGCCAGCAGCCGCGGUAAUACGUAGGUGGCAAGCGUUGUCCGGAUUUAUUGGGCGUAAAGCGAGGGCAGGCGGUUUCUUAAGUCUGAUGUGAAAGCCCCCGGCUCAACCGGGGAGGGUCAUUGGAAACUGGGAGACUUGGGUGGAGAAGAGGAGAGUGGAAUUCCAUGUGUAGCGGUGAAAUGCGUAGAUAUAGGGGGGAACACCAGUGGCGAAGGCGGCUCUCUGGUCUGUAACUGACGCUGAGGCUCGAAAGCGUGGGGAGCAAACAGG